UUGGGGUAAUUAUACUCAUCGCGAAUAUCCUUAAGAGGGCGUUCAGCAGCCAGCUUGCGGCAAAACUGCGUAACCGUCUUCUCGUUCUCUAAAAACCAUUUUUCGUCCCCUUCGGGGCGGUGGUCUAUAGUGUUAUUAAUAUCAAGUUGGGGGAGCACAUUGUAGCAUUGUGCCAAUUCAUCCAUUAACUUCUCAGUAACAGAUACAAACUCAUCACGAACGUCAGAAGCAGCCUUAUGGCCGUCAACAUACAUAUCACCAUUAUCGAACUCAACGCCCUGCAUACGAAAAGACAGAAUCUCUUCCAAGAGCUUGAUGCGGUUAUCCAUCUGCUUAUGGAAGCCAAGCAUUGGGGAUUGA
rnacentral:rRNA from 1 species